rnacentral:rRNA from 1 species
AUAAGAACCAACCGGGAUUGCCUCAGUAACGGCGAGUGAAGCGGCAAAAGCUCAAAUUUGAAAUCUGGCGUCUUUGGGCGUCCGAGUUGUAAUUUGAAGAAGGUAACUCUGGGGCUGGCCCUUGCAUAAGUUCCCUGGAACGGGACGUCAUAGAGGGUGAGAAUCCCGUUUAUGGUGGGGAGUCCAGUCCUUUGUAGAGUGCUUUCGAAGAGUCGAGUUGUUUGGGAAUGCAGCUCUAAGUGGGUGGUAAAUUCCAUCUAAAGCUAAAUAUUGGCGAGAGACCGAUAGCGAACAAGUACAGUGAUGGAAAGAUGAAAAGAACUUUGAAAAGAGAGUGAAAAAGUACGUGAAAUUGUUGAAAGGGAAGGGCUUGAAAUCAGACUUGGUUUGCAGUGGUAUGUCUUCUCUCGGGGAGGCGGUUACGCUGUUUACUGGGCCAACAUCGAUUCGAGCGGCAGGAUAAUGACAACUGAAUGUGGCUCGCCUCGGGUGAGUGUUAUAGCUUUUGUUGAUACUGCCAGCUUGGAUCGAGGACUGCGCU